GGCAGCAUCAGGCCCGCGGCAAGGAGGAGCGGGGCGCGAAGGAGGAGCAGCAGCAGUGGUCUGUCCUGCUCCUCCCGUGUCCAUGGUCGGGGCGGCCGGCGUAGGCGAGCGGCGUGCAGGGGAUGGCUCGGCUUGCUACUUCUCCGCCAUUGCGUCCAUGGCUGGCAGCGGUGCGGGCGGAUCUCUAUCCAAAUCGGACGCAAUUACUCCUACGGCGCUAGCAGGCAGCAGCUGGAUCUGUUCGGGCGGACGGGCGCGGAGAAGAGAGAGGUAGGUCGUGCAAAAGGCGGAGCGCCACGACGAAGCUGUCGCCUGUCGGAGGCUCGGAGCUGCGGUCCUCCUUCCACUUCCACCCCAACAGGCCGCGGCGGCCGCGGCCCUCUACAUGCUCUGCACGGUGGCAGGCCCGUCUCCAGUAAAUGAAUCAUCUGCGGCAAUCCCGUCGUUGCGGAUUCCUGUCACGGCUCCCCUGCUAGCUAGACUGCUAGAGGCUGGUCCUUCACGUGAGCAACCUCUUGCAACAGCUACUCGGCUACGUCUCCACUCGUCUGUCAACCAUAUGUGCUCGACCAUUCAGCUAUUCCCAAUGAGGCAUCUCUGUGGGUGAUGAAUACAUUGAAUAGUAAAAGGAAAGGCACCUACAAGGUAUCAACCACAUAUAACUAUGUGCACAUUUUGUCGGUGUAUAGACCCGGCGGCCUAGCACCAACUAUACAUCCAUAUCGCUGAACCAAACCGUGGCCUGGGGAGCCAUGUGUUACUGUUACCACGUGGGCCCGUGGCAUGUGCUGGCUGUCAUCACACGUCGUCAUUCCAACGAACGUGUCGCCUCCGUGUUCUGCCGAGCAGAGGUUGCGUCCAUCCUAAGCGGAAGCCUACGCGGCGUUCUUCACUGCUAGAAAAUCGAUCACGCCAGGUUAUCUAGCCGGACGUCCUCACCUCACGGUCGACGACGCUGUCGUAGCUGCAGUCCCCCUUCCGCUCCGACAGGUUGCAAGUUGCAACUGCAACGCUCUACAUGUUCUGGUCGGUGAUUUAAGCCAUCUCCAGCAAGCGAGCCAUCAGCAGCAACCCCGGCAUUGCUGAUUCACGUUGCUAUCGUCUCCUCUGCCAGAGGCGAUUCGCUCGCAACCUCCUGCGGCAGCUACUCUCCACACGCCUCGCCGUCGCCGGAGAUGGUCCGUCUCAAUUUUGCUAAUCAGGUCUGAACCACCUGACCAUAUUUGUUCCUCACACGUGAGUGCCAAUUCUGGGUACAGCUAGCUCCCCUCUCUCCUUAAAUGGUGUAGUAGUGGAUUGAAACCAUUCAUGUACCCUCUUUUCUUUCCCAAAUUCAUCGGCGACUACUACCUGUAGCCUUUUGUGUGCUCAUGACUACAGGUGUCGAGCAACCAGCACGCAGCCAAUCCCAGUGAGGCAUCACGGGUGAUGAAUUGACCUGCAAAACAACAGAAAUGUAGUCAAGUGAAAGAGCAUGUUACAACAUAUUACAGGUAGGCUAUCUAUGCACUAUAAAACAACUAAAUCCUUUCGAUUCAAAGAUAUUGGUCUUCCAAUUGUCUUAUUAUCAUCAUGGUAUAAAUGUGUCAUUUUCAUAUUCCUAAGGUUCUAAAAUCAGUUUCUUUUUUCUUAAUAACUGAGGAUGUAUAUGGUAUGUUGUUUUACUCUGAAACCUACCAUAAAUGUUGCACCUCAAUUCUUAUACUUUGCAUAUCACCUCAUAUAAAAUCAUUUUUGACUUUGCUGUCAAUAUUGGGAAAUCAUCUGAAUAAUUUAGCCCACAUUUGCAUGCUAAACAGGCUAUAUAGUUUAGCUAUGAAAGCUAUUUACUUCAUUGUUGUUAAUUUUCUUUCCCGUCAAGUUGCUUUGAUCCCUGUAAUCUCAUUUACCUCUGCUUACCCAGAUGGAACAGGGACCACCAACAUCGACAUAAGAGAAAGUUACAUGUAUCAAUUUUUUCCAUAGUUGAGUAGAUCGUGCUUUGACUUCAGCUUAUUUUGAUUUCCAUCGAGUCUUUUCUUUGUUAACAUACUUUGACAUAUAUUGCAGCUCUUUGUGCUAUUCAAUGUUCUAAAGUAGUCAGCAUAGCAAAAAACGUUACAGGUCUAAUUCUAUCUCAAUCUGUGGUACCCAAUGUUCUGAAGUGUUCUAAAGUUGGCAUAUAUGAUUUUAGUAUACUAGAACUUCAUAACAUAAGAAGGUACAUCAGUUUAGUUUAAGCAUAUAUACUCAAAGUGUUUUUCCUUCAGAAUUCUCAUUUCAAACCAUGCAUAAUAAGUCUGUUCACCCCCAGUAGUACCAGAUUAUUUGUUUAAAACAUUGGAUUUAGAAUGUUGCUCAAGGCACCCAACAAGGCAUCAACCAUAUGUAGCGAUGUGCUUUUUUCUUACUAUUGAUUACUAAAUUAAGGGGUUAUUGAUUUCAGCUACCGAUAUUCCUUUAUAGACUUUACCCCAUGAAUUGUAAUUCCAAAGAGUGACAACCAUGAAUAUACUUUUUUUCUAUUUUAAAAUUUUAGGUGCAAUCAUGAAAUUGCUAUGUAGUGAUAGUUUCGCCUUUGAUUCUAAAGGUUUGGUCCUUUGGGUGAUAGGUUUCUUUUCUUUUCUCAUUGCUGGCGUUUCUUGCAUGUUUUUUUGGUCCUAUGAAUUACGGUAGUAAUAUUAGUUCUUGAUAUUUGAACGGUUACAUAUCUCUCACAAUUCCAUAGUUUUUCCUCUCAUGUUGUCUCCUUGCUGAAAGUAUUGAUGUCAAGAUAAAAUAAUGUGUCGGCUCUUCAACAAAUUGAGUACUAAUUCAUUUUCAGGUAUCAGUUUAAAAGUGGGCAGCCGAUAACCGGUGGCCACUAUCUUGCACAAGCUGCUCAGAGCCUCAGAUGACCCACUACAUAUAUGCAGUUAUUUGUGCUUUAUCAUUAACAUUUGUCAUUGUCCUAUCUUUAUUUUAUAUCUUUGUAAUGAAUGAUUGCAUGCCGUGGCCAGUUCUUGACUUCUAUGCUUUGGCGUUACUUGAUAC